GGAUGGGUUGUCCAUAGAAGCGGAUGAGAGAGGAUGCAGGUGGAGGUUUGUUGUGUUUCUCCUCACUUCUCCUCACAUGGGAGAGACGAUGCUGCACAAAGUUGUCGUAGUCCUCCAUCAAGUUGCAUCAGGAUACGAUAUUUGGUGAUUGGUUGGCUCCCGACCUCUAUUACUGGCACAGUGUCCACUACUUCAAUGCCACAUAGACAUAUGGUGAGCUUUGUUCAUUUUAAACUAAAUCUAGGACUUUCCCUUUCAAACAAGAGCUUGCAGUAAAGGUUUAAGAUCAAUGUAUGUUUAAAACGAGAGCAAGUCAGUGCACACCUUUUUCACAGCAGAUAUUUUAAGUUGCCGCAGCAGAAAAAGCACAGGUGAAACCAAUGACAUUAAUGAUGGCUCUGUUCCAGCAACUACUGCAAUGCAGCAAUUAACAAUGUUAUUAGUUUCACCUGUUUGUCUGCUGUGAAAAAGGUCUAUAUGGUGUCUUUCGUAUGAAUUGUGACACAUAUUUACAAAGAUUAAUAGGCAUGCAGUGCAUAUCAGAAAUAAAUAUUACAUUUUAAAAUGUUCUGUCCAUUCAGUAUUAUAUGGGCCUUUUUUCUAUACAUUUUCUAAUAUUUCUAAUAUUUGUAUUGCAGAGAUUUCUUGAAAAGAACACAAUAUGGCUAUGAUAAUGACAAUAAUUAAGAUCAACAACCUAAUUAUAUUAACUUGCUGACACACAAAACCUGUUCCAUUUCAAAACAUGUUUAUUGGUCAUAUACAAAAUAAAGUAAGCUGUUUAUCAACAAACAUACAGUAUAUACAUCAAUAAAUUAAAAGAUGCAUCAGACUGAUGAUGAAACAGUUAAUUUCAUGAUUACCAAUACCUUGUCAUCAUCACUUACGUAUCUACAAAUUGCAAAAAGAGUACAAUAAUUUAGUUGAAGAUAAAUACUUACAAAGACUGUCACACUUUAAGUAUUUCCCAUAGAAAGUACUGUCGUAGAAUAAUUUAUUACACCCCAUACAGAAAUAUUACAAAACACAUAAUUCUCUAUUACAAGGGCUUUUCUCAAUAGGCUACGCCAUACAAACUCACUACUUUUCUAUAGCUUCAAACUGACCAUUAUAUAUUAGAAACACAAAAAUAUCCCAGCGCCCGUGAGUAAUCUGGCCGAAUGCUCACCAGCAGACACAUGUGGUUGGAUGGGGAAAAAAUGUUAGCAGGAGUUAAAUUAGAGAGGGAGAUUUACAACAAAAAGAAACACAAGUUAACAUGAUAUGAUACCUAAACUCUGGGUAGGAAUUUUAUGUUAGAGGCUGAACAACUGAUAAGGGCAGGGGCAGCAGAGAGAGUAAGAGAGAGCAGCAGAAGGGGGUAACUGGGGAGGCAAAACAAACAUUAUUGAUGAACACACCAAACGAUCAAAGGAAUCCUUGGUUCAUUUACUCUUAUCGAUCAGCAUUGGAGGUGGGUGAAAGGGCUUUUAGAGUCUGGUGGCGUGAUUUACUAGACAAGAAAGCAACUGAAUGACUACAUACCGAUUGGCCGAGCAGCAAGAUAAGUAGUUAAUGAUUUGCAUCUUCUAGAAGAAUCGGAUGUUUUGAAGAAGGGCUUGGAAGCCUGCAGAGUUAACUCGCUGACACUUUAUAAAAAAAAAUAAAAUAAAAAAAAAGGGACAGGAUAAGUGGAGUGGGGAAUUGUUAAGAGUUUUAUCAGAUGUGUCUCCACCACUCCCUUCUGCCUCUGUAAAAUAUUUAUAGACGCGGUUUAGGAGCAGUUGCUUGGGUUUGUGAUGAAAUGUCUUUUCAUAAAAAGGAGGGUAUGACCCCUGUACAGACAGUGGAAAAUAAGGUCAGCGUGUUUUUCAAGCUCAUAAACUCUGUUAUGAAACCCUACCAAGCUGCCCUGUCUGACGAUAAUUACAGGUCACUGUUGUCGGCUGAUCAUGUCUGCUGAGUGAGAAUUAGGAUCAAACUUCUAAUGUUUCACCUCAUUUGUUUAGGGACCUAACACCCUGACCCAACACACUGCUUCACACUGAAGAAACACCCACACGAUAUUCAAGCCUGGAAGACACAAAUAAUGAUAUUCUUCAGUGCGACUGCGGGCCUUGCAUGACAGCUGCAGUAUACUGUAUUUUGCAUUUUGUCCUCUUCUUAAUCGGAAACGAAUCAAACGUAUUUGAUGAUUUUAUGUUUUCACAGUUAAUUGUUAAGUGACACUGAAAAAAGGAGCCAUAUUUAAACAGAGACAAAGUGACAUUGACAUUUAUAACCAAGUCUAAACUGCUCAGCACGCUUUAUCCUUGUCACAUCACACUGUACCUGCAAUUAUAAAACAGACAACUUGACACGACGACUACGUGGCAGGAGGUCUAAUUUUGCCCUACACAGUUUGCAUAAUUAGAGCCACGUCCACACGUUUAUGUUUACACAGUAUGCAUCCUUUUUAAACAAGGGGAGCAUAAAAAUACAGACAUGGUGGAGACAUAUUGUGUGACAGUGGCACAUACAGUACAUACAGUUUGACAAGCACCUGGAAGUUUCAUAUUUUGCUCUAACUUGACACAACCUCAUCUCAGCAAAAGUCGCGUUUCUUCCUAUUUUAUACCACCAUGAUCAUUCACACCACAUGACGUGCCAGCAAAACAAAAAAAACAUAAUUCAACGAGCAAAUGUAAAGACAGACAGGAAGCAACAGAGUGACAGGGAGAAAGAAUAUAUGAAAAAAAAACAGUAGAAAAUUGAAUAAUAGCAUUGUGACAUACAAAACAGGACACAUCUUUUUAAAGAAAUACAGAAAUAUACUGGGUGUGAUAUCUGUAUUUCCUUGUAACUGAAUACCAUGGAAUAUAUUCAUGCGGUAAGACAUUUAAAAAAAAAAUAAAUAAAUAAAUAAAGUAUCAGACAUUUUCAUUUGACAUUUGUAGUUCUCUGAUUUCACGGUUGACUGGACAUGCUGAUGGUUAUCAGUGUAAAGAAAAUGGAGAAAUAAUAUUUUAAAAUCUCAAACCCAUUUCCCUUCCAAUGUCUUUGCCCAUUGUUCACCUGCUUGAAUUAUAUUUUAUAUUAAUGUAGGGUACAGAUGAAGACAUACCUUACUAAUCUUAAUAACUGCACAGCAGUAGGCUAGCUAACCCCUUUUUCUUCACAGUGGAAAAGUAGCAGUUCAGGUAAAAGGCUGCAUGUAUGUACUGUUUUUUGUCAUUGUAAAUUGCUUCUAUUUCAGUAAAUCUCUUGAUUUAAAUCAGGUUUUCAUAGUUUAAAAAAACAGUUUGAGGCAAUUGUACUUUAUAAGGUAAACUUAACUCUUU